UACGAGGGGGGCAAGCGUUGUUCGGAAUUAUUGGGCGUAAAGGGUGCGUAGGCGGUUUGGUAAGUCUUAUGUGAAAUCUACAGGCUCAACUUGUAGUCUGCAUGAGAAACUGCCGGGCUUGAGUAUGGGAGAGGUGAGUGGAAUUCCUGGUGUAGCGGUGAAAUGCGUAGAUAUCAGGAGGAACACCUGUGGCGAAAGCGGCUCACUGGACCAUAACUGACGCUGAUGCACGAAAGCUGGGGGAGCAAACAGG
rnacentral:rRNA from 1 species